GGCGACGAUGGUUAGCUGGUCUGAGAGGAUGAUCAGCCACACUGGAACUGGAACACGGUCCAGACUCCUACGGGAGGCAGCAGUGAGGAAUUUUGCGCGAUGGGGGUAACCCUGACGCAGCAACGCCGCGUGAGUGAUGAAGGCCUUCGGGUCGUAAAGCUCUGUCAAGUGGGAGGAACCCAUUCCGGCACAACAAGCCGGGGUGCUGACGGUACCACUGAAGGAAGCACCGGCUAACUCCGUGCCAGCAGCCGCGGGUAAUACGGAGGGUGCGAGCGUCAUUCGGAAUUACUGGGCGUAAAGGGCGCGUAGUGCGGCCGAUUAAGUCAGAUGUGAAAUCCCGCGGGUAACCCCCGCAAGAGCAUUUGAUACUGAACGGGUUGAGUAUGGGAGAGGGAAGUGGAAUACCUGGUGUAGCGGUGAAAUGCGUAGAUAUCAGGAGGACACCGGUGCCGAGGCGACUUCUGGACACAAACUGACGCUGAGGCCCGAAGGCGUGGGGAGCAAACAGGAAUAGAUACCCUGGUAGUCCACGCAGUAAACGGUGAUCACUAAGGUGUAGCGGGUAUUGACCCCUGCUGUGCCGGAGGUAACGCAUUAAGUGAUCCGCCUGGGGAGUACGGCCGCAAGGGUAAAACUCAAAGGAAUUGACGGGGGCCGCACAAACGGUGGAGCAUGUGGUUUAAUUCGACGCAACGCGAAGAACCUUACCUGGAUUUGACAUCUCGGGAAUCCCGCGGAAACGCGGGAGUGCCCUUCGGGGAGCCCGAAGGACAGGUGCUGCAUGGCUGUCGUCAGCUCGUGUCGUGAGAUGUUGGGUUAAGUCCCGCAACGAGCGCAACCCCUAUCUUCAGUUACCAGCGAGUAAAGUCGGGGACUCUGGAGAUACUGCCCCGGUCAACGGGGAGGAAGGUGGGGAUGACGUCAAGUCCUCAUGGCCUUUAUGUCCAGGGCUACACACGUGCUACAAUGGGCUGUACAGAGGGAAGCGAUCUCGCGAGGGUGAGCCAAUCCCAAAAAGCAGUCCUCAGUUCGGAUUGGAGUCUGCAACUCGACUCCAUGAAGCUGGAAUCGCUAGUAAUCGCGGAUCAGCAUGCCGCGGUGAUACGUUCCCGGGCCUUGACACACCGCCCGUCACACCAUGAGAGUUGGCUGUACCAGAAGUCGUCG
rnacentral:rRNA from 1 species